GACGAACGCUGGCGGCGUGCCUAAUACAUGCAAGUAGAACGCUGAAGAGAGGAGCUUGCUCUUCUUGGAUGAGUUGCGAACGGGUGAGUAACGCGUAGGUAACCUGCCUUGUAGCGGGGGAUAACUAUUGGAAACGAUAGCUAAUACCGCAUAACAAUGGAUGACCCAUGUCAUUUAUUUGAAAGGGGCAAAUGCUCCACUACAAGAUGGACCUGCGUUGUAUUAGCUAGUAGGUGAGGUAACGGCUCACCUAGGCGACGAUACAUAGCCGACCUGAGAGGGUGAUCGGCCACACUGGGACUGAGGCACGGCCCAGACUCCUACGGGAGGCAGCAGUAGGGAAUCUUCGGCAAUGGGGGCAACCCUGACCGAGCAACGCCGCGUGAGUGAAGAAGGUUUUCGGAUCGUAAAGCUCUGUUGUAAGUCAAGAACGAGUGUGAGAGUGGAAAGUUCACACUGUGACGGUAGCUUACCAGAAAGGGACGGCUAACUACGU
rnacentral:rRNA from 1 species